UCCAAAAGGGAAUAAUGUGGACUUUUUGUCAAUUUAUUUGGAUGCUGCUGUUGCUACUAUGCCUCAUGGAUGGGAAAAAUUUGCAAAUUUCAAACUCAUUAUGAUUAAUCAGCUCAAUAACGAAAAAAAUAUAAUAAAAGAAAGUAGCCAUACGUUCAAUUCAAAGCAGAGUGACUGGGGAUUCACUUCUUACAUAUCUUUGAAAGAACUUUGGGACUCUAGUCGCGGGUUCAUUUUAAAUGAUACUUGUAUAAUUGAAGCUCAUAUAUUGGUUCAUAUGUCAGAGCAUAAGAAACAAGUUGAUGUAUCAGAUAAGAACAUUGACAAUAAGCUUGUUGAAAGCAUUGAAAAUAGUUCAUCCAUGGAAAUGAUUUCAACCUCAUCAUUUGGUGAGGUGGUGGAUUUUAGGAGCAUAGGAAAAGUAGAAAAAGAUUUUAUUCCUCUGUUAGAAGAUGUUUGUUCACGAUAUCCCUCUCUUUGGAUAGCAAGAAGCGGAGAAGUCAAAGAUUUAUUGAA